GACAGAGGGUGCAAACGUUGUUCGGAAUUACUGGGCGUAAAGCGCGCGUAGGCGGGUUGGUAAGUCCGCUGUGAAAGCCCGGAGCUCAACUCCGGAGGGUCGGUGGAUACUGCCAGUCUUGAAGGUGCUAGGGGGAGAUGGAAUUACCGGUGUAGCGGUGAAAUGCGUAGAUAUCGGUAGGAACACCAGUGGCGAAGGCGGUCUCCUGGGGCAUUCUUGACGCUGAGGCGCGAAAGCUGGGGGAGCAAACGGG
rnacentral:rRNA from 1 species